rfam:Limnohabitans sp. 103DPR2, complete genome.
UGCGUUUUUUGCCCAGGCGGAGCUCGACCGCCGUUUGAAGAACUGAAACGAUUCGUGGACCUGCACCGUGACACCUACGGGGUCGAGUCCAUCUGCAAGGUGCUGCAGAUGGCCCCA